GUCAAUGACCAGAGUCUCUAUGUGAAUGUGAAACCCACGGAGGUUCAUCGGGAGGUACCUCAUGAAGACAGAGGUGGGGCCUGGAGCCACAGAGCUCUCAUCCAAGCCCAGAAUACCAAGUUCUGCCAGCACCUGGAAUUGUUUGUGGCAAUCUGCUAGAGCAGUCCUCAGAGGCCCUGGCCAUCCAGUUCUCCCGCCAACAAGGAAGCACCUCCCAAGGGACCACAUUGCCCCUUGGAGCCAGUCCUGAUGCAACUACCAUGAUUUAAAGACUCUGGAAGCCUCACCCACAGGCUUCAUGCCCAGGCAAGUGACUUUGGAGAAAGCCCUGGUCUCUGAAGUGCCAGGCCACAGACUCUGCUCUUAGGCUCUGUGAACAGCACAGACAAGGCACCUCCCUCCGAUGGAGAAGAAAACAGAUGCCCCAGGCGAGAAACUCAUUUUGACAAUUAUUGGAUCAUUUCAAGGUUCUAGAACAUCGAAGGAAGGGCAAUGUUUUCUUGAAAGCUGCCAUUAAAAUAUCAGAAUAAUUCUUGAA